rnacentral:rRNA from 1 species
CCUACGGGUGGCAGCAGUGAGGAAUAUUGGUCAAUGGCCGGAAGGCUGAACCAGCCAUGCCGCGUGAAGGUCAGUGCCCUAUGGGCGUUAAACUUCUUUUGUGCGGGAGCAAUAAUGGUCACGUGUGGCCAGACGAGAGUACCGUACGAAUAAGCAUCGGCUAACUCCGUGCCAGCAGCCGCGGUAAUACGGGGGAUGCAAGCGUUAUCCGGAUUUAUUGGGUUUAAAGGGUGCGUAGGCUGUGAGGUAAGUCAGCGGUGAAAUGCCCCCGCUCAACGGGGUGAAGUGCCAUUGAUACUGCCUGGCUGGAAUGCGGAUGCCGUGGGAGGAAUGUGUGGUGUAGCGGUGAAAUGCAUAGAUAUCACACAGAUCACCGAUUGCGAAGGCAUCUCACGAAUCCGCGAUUGACGCUGAUGCACGAAAGCGUGGGUAUCAAACAGGAUUAGAUACCCUAGUAGUC